rnacentral:rRNA from 1 species
AAUAGAUACCCCGGUAGUCCACGCCGUAAACGGUGGGCACUAGGUGUGGGCGACAUUCCACGUCGUCCGUGCCGCAGCUAACGCAUUAAGUGCCCCGCCUGGGGAGUACGGCCGCAAGGCUAAAACUCAAAGGAAUUGACGGGGGCCCGCACAAGCGGCGGAGCAUGUGGCUUAAUUCGACGCAACGCGAAGAACCUUACCAAGGCUUGACAUACACCGGAAACGUCCAGAGAUGGGCGCCCCCUUGUGGUCGGUGUACAGGUGGUGCAUGGCUGUCGUCAGCUCGUGUCGUGAGAUGCUGGGUUAAGUCCCGCAACGAGCGCAACCCUUGUCCCGUGUUGCCAGCAGGCCCUUGUGGUGCUGGGGACUCACGGGAGACCGCCGGGGUCAACUCGGAGGAAGGUGGGGACGACGUCAAGUCAUCAUGCCCCUUAUGUCUUGGGCUGCACACGUGCUACAAUGGCCGGUACAAUGAGCUGCGAUACCGCGAGGUGGAGCGAAUCUCAAAAAGCCGGUCUCAGUUCGGAUUGGGGUCUGCUAACG